AUACCCUCGUUCCAUUCGCCUGUCGUAGCCGCCCCGUCCCCGUGUGCUCUGCCGCCUCUCACCUUCCCAUCUCCUCGCGCUCCCCUUCCCUCGCUUCGCCUAGCAGGAAGGUCUCUUCCUUGACCAGGGCGGCCACGACUCUAGCUGGCGCUCGAGUUCCUCGCAGCAGGUGGCGGCUCUCGUCGUCAAGCACGGCACCGGCGCAGGAGCGGUCGACGAUAUGGUCAGGCGGGAGAGGAGGGGGUCGGAUCUCCCUGCCGUUCUACCCAUCCUUGCCGGGCCACCCCUCCCAACACGCACCAGCCUCUCUACUCUCUCUUACAGAAACGUCUGCAACACCAACUCGAAACCCAACAUGGAUACAUGCUUUUCUGUGAGGUAAUGGACAUGUCCUUAUUUCAGACUUGUGAUUUAUUGUAGCUUGUAGGUGGUGGACAAUGCAUUAGGUCAGGCUUCUAAAUCAUGUGAGGUUCCCAUGUGCUUUUCAAGUGUUUAUUCACUUUUGUGUAGGUCAAAAGAACAAAUAUGCAGAUUACUUGUUGAUGAAGUGAAGUGAUCUAAUCAGACAAUUCAGUUGACCAACGGGACAAUGCCCUCAAGUCGAAGGAACAAAUAUGCAGAUUUUUCCUCUAGGAUGUAUUACGCUGAUGCAAUAACUGGACCGUGACGUACUCCUGCACAAAUCAGUACAUAGUUAUACCUUAACUUACUGCCUUUUCCCUAUGCAUAAACUACUUUAAUUAUCAAAAUAAUGUACUGUCCUUUCUCUGGUAACAAAUAUGGUGUAGUAUAGAUUUUCUGUACUACCACAUCGCUCUCUUCUUUGUAUCGUCGUAAUAUCACUACUCACUCUAUCUUUGUAAGCUAUACGAAUAGUCAAUAUCAUACUCUCCCCAGACAGCGAUAUGUCAAACUUUUGGUUGUCCUCGUCGUACUCCCGCACGCGCCCAUAUGGGCCAGGCCCAACUAAAACUGCCAGCCUCCCAUCGUUUGUCCCUUGUCCCCUACUCUAUGCUCCCACCAGGCCACCCCUAAAAAAAAGUCGAUCCGACCGGACGCCUAGGGUUUUGGCGCCGCCAUGGCCGGCAUGGUCUCCCCCGGGCCCCGGGCACCCUUGCACCGUCUGAUGCCCUAACGUGUCAAAGAAGAGGCGGAGGAGCCUGGGCCAAAUCCUGACGCCACCUGCAUCGCGUCAAUGGCGGGAUCGUGUUCAGGUCAGUCGCGAAGGAGAGGGGAAGAAGGGUCGUCGCUGUUGGAGGUGGGAGGAUGUGGUGGUGCCACUGGGGAGAGGACCUAGAGGGGGUGCCACCGGCUUGUUAUUCUUAGCCCCCCGUCCAGCAGAUCCCCGCCCGUGCCCGUGCUGGGGAGAGAGGGGCGGCCAGAUGGAAGGUGAGGAAGGCUCUCCAGGCCAAGGGAGAGCUGGUACCCGGAGGAGCACUUCCUCGAUGCCCAACUCAGGUUCGGCUGUGCCUGGAAGAUGGUCGAGGAGCACGUCAGAUCUGGAUCUGAUCAUAUUUUGGUUUUUGUUUGGGAUGAACGGAGGUGAACGGAGGUGACAAUAAAUUCAGAGUUCUGAACCAGCAUGUCGUUAUGCAAAGGAAUCCUAGGAGCCAGGAUAUCGGGCAUCUUCAGUAGUCAAACACCUGGUACAUAUGAGUUAUGGAAGACAGAUGGUGCAUCUGCUAGGAAGCCUCAUGCCACCAAUUUGAGUCAGAGCUUUGGACUCCUGAACGGGUAUCUGGCGAUUAAAACUCAUGAAAGAGAAGUCCUAUGGUGAAGUUUGUGAUGUAUUUGGUAGAGCCAAUGUUUUAUUAGCUUCCAAGGAUGGAAGUUUGGCGGCAUCUGUUGAGAAUGGUUAGAUGUUCCAGUGAUUGAUGUUGAGAAUGGAUAGUUUUAUUUGACCUCAACUCUUGGGUUAAACCGGAAGUGAUGGAACUUGGCAUAGAUCAGUCUCAGUCCAGAAGUAGUACAUGUGGUUGGUUCACAAACUUCUGGUGGUAACGUGAAUCGUUGUUUCAAUCGCCUAUUUUCAUUAAUCUGGUGACUUCCAUCCUUGUUCGCUGUUUGGGAGAAAGACAAAGACCAACAAAGGAACAGUUGUUAAUAACCCUGACUAUCGAUUACGAUUGGUCUCUUGGCAUGGACUUUAACAUCAAGUAAAGAAGAUAUGGUAUCUGUUAGCAGAGUAAUAUCUCUAAAUGGUCCACUAUUGUCAAAAUGCACGGUUAGCUGGUGCAUUUGGAUAUGCAGACAAUCUUCAUGGAUAGCUGGUGCAUUUGGAUAUGCAGACAAUCUUCUUGCUGCUGCACCUGUAGGCCUAUGGGGGCUGCUUCUUUUGUUUCAGAAAGCGGAAUAGAAAACCCAGACACAUGAGUGGAGAGGAUGGUGCAGGUUUACCACAACCUGGCCAAGUGGGAGUACUUCUGCCCGCUUACCCCAGCCUACACUUACGUGUCACCAAAGCUGGGCUGCUGGCCUACGAUGUUGACAACCUGUCGGCAGUAGGGCAGCCGGAACUGAACAUUGUUGCGUCAGGGACUCCCUUCACGUCGUGCUGAAGAACCCUACAUAAUUGGACGCGGGGCGUCGGAGCAGAUGGCAUGUAGCACAAACCAAUUUGGGGAUUCAGAAACGGCGAUGUGGGGCACGUCGGGGAAGGAAAUUCCAGUGCCUGAAACCACUGGAACGGAUGCAUGACGUGUUCAAGAUCGACACACAAUGAGUCAAUCCAGGCAUCCAAGAAAUCUUUUUUUGAAAGAUCUAGCUUGGCUGUCUUUUGUAUAUUAAGCAGAGGGAAAUACAAGACCACGAAGUGUGGUAAGUAAAAGUAUACAAAGACAGAGGACCUCACAAAGGUUCUCUGAAGGGAGCUACUAGACAUUUGGCAUCAGCAAGACGCCAUGAAUAAGGGAGAGAUUGCAUGCAUUAAUGAGGUUGUGCCCAAGAUUUUUUAUCCAAGUGUUGUCCAAUAAGUCUGUUUUGACAGCUCGGUUCUUUCUCUUGGAGUGCUUAAAUAGCGCGGGGAAAGCUAAGCGCAGGGGAUGCGCAAGGAGCCAUGAAGACUCCCAGAAGGAGGCACGGAGCAUGUCGCCAACUGUGACUGAUUUCAGUCCUAACACAAUACAUCAUUAGUAUCCUCUUUCAUCUGCGCAAAUCAUGCGCUGUUGGCUAAUCUGCAAUGCCAACAUGCUUGGGAAUUGGGAUCAUGGUGGCCAUGAAACUGAAGAUUAGUACAAUUUUUGAGGACCAAAAAUUUAGUGUUUGUCGGCCUUCAUCUUGGGACAGCAGACAACAUGGACUGAGCACUCCUGUGAUUGUUGUGGAUCGACUCUGUGCUGCUGGCUCUCAACUACUCUGUAGUAUUAGUAAUAUGAUGUAUGUCCAUGCGCAGCUCUUAUAUCACGAUUGCAGCUCAUUGAAUUGUCCAUUGUUAAUAUGACCCUAUCCAACAGAGUACUUUCUAUCACUACUGCGUAUGUUUCAUUUUUCCUAGGAUUUAUCCAACUGAUCAAUGAUUGAAUGACUUUUCACUUCCUGACUUAUAAGGUGAAGCUAAAGGUGAGAAACUAUCUGCAGAGAAUUUGGGUUUUGUUCAUUGUGUUUGGGAAACAUUUGUUGAUUGUUAUCUCGAAAGUCAAGGAGUUGAUGCUUUACUGAAUAUCUAGACCUUGGAUGGAUUGUUACCCGGAUUCAUUUGGUGUCCUGAUGGCUUCGAUGAACCUUCUCUGUAAUGAUGCCACCUUGGAU